rnacentral:lncRNA from 1 species
GUCUCCCCUCUUGGCGAACACCGGGAGCAAAGCCAUCACUGUCUUGUAGAAUAGCUUCCGGUCCUUGAAAGGAAUCUCGAAAGCUUCGUCCAGCUUCUUGAGCGCGCUUUAGAUCUGCGAAGUUUCAACGUAGCCAGAGACCAGAAAGUUGUAGGGAAGAAAGCAGCUCUUGCCGAUGUGCUUCUCCAUGAGCUUCUCCGCCUGGUCCAUCAUCUUGAGCCUCA